GAAUGUUCUUAAACAUUUUUAACAUUUCUUUUUUUCUACCAAAAAAUGUCAAAAAAUUUCCGGAAAAUGUAGACACCAGAAGUUUCACUGUGAAAAUAUAAUUUUUUUUUCAUAUUUUAAACUUUAAAACGGGUCCAUUUUGACCUGCAGGACAACACGAGGGUUAAUGUUCCUGAAUAGGUGCAGCAGCGUCUUCAUGUUGAUGCUAAACUGUGGUUGUAAGCGUUGAUUCACUUUAUUUCCUCCUGGAGUUUGUUUUUCACUGCAGCUGUUGUUGACAGACUUGUUUGCUGAGAUGCUUUCAGCUGUCAGCUCCUAUUUUUGUUUGUUCCCUCACAGUGCAGAGUUCCUGGACAAAGAAGAGGAAGAGAUGUUUUACUACUCGUGUCCACCUGGUGUUUCUCAUGUGAAGAGCAUUGAGGCUGAUGUCUGAGGAUUCCAGCUGUCUGGAUGUCAGAUAAAAGCGCUGCUGUUAACCUUCACCUCCUUCCUCGUCUGUGAGCUCAGCCUUUAACGUUAAUGGCACCUAAAACUAUUAUACUUCUCUCUGCAGUUCCGGCUUCUCGUCUGGCUCUUUUAAAUUGAUCCCCAGAUCAUCAGAAGUGUUCAGAGGGGAGGUAGAAGUCGUUCUCUUUUCUUUUCUCCUCAGUUACACAUCAUCUACUGUAGGUUUAGCUUAGUGCUGCUGGCCCACUUCCUGGAUUUAUAGGAACUGCAUUAAGUCGACAGGUUUAGUUUGAAACAAGCCUCCCUGUGUUGGUUUCCUGUUGAAUACAGAGCUGGUUUAAAGUUUUUCUUUCAUUUGUUUGCACCUCGGUACAUUUCAGAACCGUACAGCAUCUGUUCCUCUACAGACACUACAGCAGGGAGAUCACGUUUUAGCAGCGGCAGCUCCAUAGCUUUGGAAUAAUCUCCCUCUUUUAAUCAAAUGUUCCUUCUCUGCUGAUACUUUGAAGGAAAAUAACAAGGCAUCCAUGUUCUCAGAGGCUUUCAGGUGUUCUAAUACUUCAGCAUUUUGUGUUUAUUUUGUUUUUCAUGUUGUCGUCCUGCUUUGUCUUGUUUUUCAAUGUUUUGUUAUGUUGUACAAAUUGGUUUUCUGAAGUUUUCAUCCUGUUUUGUGUGUUGCUUUUUUGCACUUUGGUCAGCUGUAGCUGUUUUAAAACUCUUCCUGAUGAGUAGCUGUCAUGACUCUGAGAUGAACAUCAGAUCUGUGGAACAUCAUCUAGUGAGCUCUGCUGGGUGCAUUCAGGGUUUCAUCAUGGAGCCAAAGACUGUGUUUGGUCUGUAUGAUGGUCAUCAGAGUGGAGAACAAACAUCAGCAGCCUGAGAUGGUCCAAGCUCCAUGAUGAGGAUCAUCUUGGUGGUGGAGAGAUGUGGAUCUACAGCUGCAGCUACAUUUUGAUUCCAGUUCUUUUUCCAACUUUUGUAAAAUAUUACAUUCUUUUUUUCAUGAUUCAUGGCAGGGCUGCACAGUGGAUCAGUGGUUAGUACUGUCACCUUGCAGCUAGAAGAUCCCUGGUUCGCAUCCCGGCCUUCCUGGGAUCUUCCUGCAUGGAGUCUCCAUGUUCUCCUGUACAUGUGUGGGUUUUCUCCAGGUUCUCCAGCUUCCUCCCACAGUCCACAAACAUGCUGAGGUUCAUUGGUGAUUCUAAAUUGUCUGUAGGUGUGAAUGUGAGUGUGAUUGUUUGUCUCUAUGUGUAGCCCUGUGAUAGACUGUUACCUGUCCAGGUGAACCUGUGAUAGACUGUUACCUGUCCAGGUGAACCUGUGAUAGACUGUUACCUGUCCAGGUGAACCUGUGAUAGACUGUUACCUGUCCAGGUGAACCUGUGAUAGACUGUUACCUGUCCAGGUGAACCUGUGAUAGACUGUUACCUGUCCAGGUGAACCUUCACCCUCAGUCAGCUGGGAUAGACUCCGCCCACAGUGACCCUAAUGAGGAUUAACCCUCCUGUUGUCUUCAUUUACAGGCACCAGAAAAUAUUGUUUCCUUGACCCGCAGAAUGACAUGAGAAUUAAACGGUGUGUAGAUACUGGAUGGAUGAUUUCUGUUUAAUGUUUUCUCUACUUCUAGUCUUGGUUGUUCUGUUUCCUCAGAGGUGCAGGAGUUUAUACUGCCGUGAAAAAUGAGCCCACAUUUGCUGGGAAGAGUCGGUGGAUUCAGCGUGAUGCAGAAAAUCAACAUGCUUCAACAAAGUGUAGCUGCUGACGGAGUUUUUCUCCUCCACUGGUUUGCUUUAAUGAUGUCAACAGUUGCAGUCCUGUUUCCAUUCGCUAACACACAUCUGCAGAGGAAACCAGACUUUUCCACGGCUGUCCAGAGCACAGGUAUUAAACCCGAGCAGCGAAGGGCCUGACGGGGGGCUGCUCACAUCUCCUCCUUCCUUCCUCUGUCCUGCCUGGCAGUGCCGUCGUAGCCAUGCGAGAAGAACCGUCGGUGCAGACAGCAGAUUACUGCCGGGCCAGCAGCUGACCUGCUGCUGGCCCCGCCUCCUUCAGGAAGAAGACUCUCUCUGUUGACCACAUGGCAGCUGACAAAGUUGAUGACGGCUUUAACUGCAGACGACGGCAGACGAAGAGCAACACAAGAGCUGUCGGGCCUCGAAAUGUGCUGGAGAGCUGUGCAUAGAGAUAAGAGGAAACGAGGAGCCUCUAGGAUGCAGCAGCUGAUGCACCUGCAGUCGGCCUCGCUGCAGCUCGUGUUGCUUUGAAAUGUGGUGAAUCAAAGUGAUGACUGCCAGACUUCACUAAAUACGACCCUCCAUCGCUGUUUCUGCUUCAGAAUGACUCCAGUGUUUAUAUUCUUCUCCUCAUUUGGCUCUCUCCCAUGUGGUGAACACAUUUCCAGACUCUACGUAUGUUAGCUGAUAAAUAGCCUACCGUACUGGACAUGGAGGUGGAAUUAUCUAUCAGUUAUUCUGGUUCAGUUUGACUGAAGCAGAAGAAUGAAAAGCAGUGGUUUAGUUUUUAUGGAGCAUCCAGGCUGAGACUAUUACUCACACUGGGGUGGCACAAUGCCUCCUUAAUGUUUUUCCACUAACCGCUGUGGGCCAAAUAUCCAUUUUUUGGUCCUUUACUCAUUUAAUUUGCUUUUACAGGCAAGACUACCAUUUGGAAGUACAUGGGAACUCAUGUGAGAGGCGUUUCUAUGAAGCUUUCACUUUAUUAAAAAUAUAGAAUGUU